rnacentral:rRNA from 1 species
GAUGAACGCUGGCGGCGUGCCUAAUACAUGCAAGUCGAGCGAACGGACGAGAAGCUUGCUUCUCUGCUGUUAGCGGCGGACGGGUGAGUAACACGUGGAUAACCUACCUAUAAGACUGGGAUAACUUCGGGAAACCGGAGCUAAUACCGGAUAAUAUUUUGAACCGCAUGGUUCAAAAGUGAAAGACGGUCUUGCUGUCACUUAUAGAUGGAUCCGCGCUGCAUUAGCUAGUUGGUAAGGUAACGGCUUACCAAGGCAACGAUGCAUAGCCGACCUGAGAGGGUGAUCGGCCACACUGGAACUGAGACACGGUCCAGACUCCUACGGGAGGCAGCAGUAGGGAAUCUUCCGCAAUGGGCGAAAGCCUGACGGAGCAACGCCGCGUGAGUGAUGAAGGACUUCGGAUCGUAAAACUCUGUUAUUAGGGAAGAACAUAUGUGUAAGUAACUGUGCACAUCUUGACGGUACCUAAUCAGAAAGCCACGGCUAACUACGUG